rnacentral:rRNA from 1 species
ACUUACGGCCAUAUCAUGUUGAAAGCACCGGUUCUCAUCUGAUCACCGAAGUUAAGCAACAUCAAGCCUAGUUUGUACUUAGAUGGGUGACCGCUUGGGAAGCCUAGGUGCUGUAAGCG